AGUCCUGCUCAGUACGAGAGGAACCGCAGGCUCAGCCAUUUGGUGCCUGUGCUUGGCUGAGGAGACAGUGCAAAACCACGGUCCAUAGGACCGUGACUGAAGGACUCGAAAUCGGAACCCCC
rnacentral:ncRNA from 1 species